UCCCAAACCAGAAAAACCCAAUCGGCGAGAAAACAACAUUCUUCUCAGAAAUCACUACUUCCGUCAGAAAAUGAGCAACAGGAAUUACGACGAAAAAAUAAAAAAAGGUUCAAUCAUUUAUUUGCGACCAGGUCAAAAACACAAUCUGAUCUAAUCGGCAAUAUAAUCAGAGAGGGCCUAUUCACCGUUGAUAUUCCACAAAUAUCAGAAGAAAAUAAACUACCGAAUGAAAACAUUUCAAAGCUCAGAAGUCCAGGAAAGCGACCUCCAGUACGACGUAAGACCUCGCGAUUGCUAGUUAAAGAUGUAGUCGAUGAUGCCAAGCAUAUUUUGGAUACAUUGGAUGAGAACUGUGCCGACGACUUGGAAAGCAUAUCUAAUGCAGAAAGAUAAUUAGGAAGACAAAUAGCUUUCAUAAUUUAGAACUCAAAGAAUAUUCUGAUUUUUGAGAUGCACUGAGGUGCCAUCAAUAAAUUGAAUUACAUAUGCCCAUAGAAGCAUUACGCUUACGCGUUGAUUAGUGCAAAUGUAUUGUAUUAUAUAACAGAUUUUAUCUUAAGCAUUUUUUUUAUCAAAACAUGUAUUAGUACAUCGAGAAUAUUGAUACAUUUGAGGCCCGUGCAUAUAUGAACAUUUAUAAUGCAGUGAAAACCACCUCACUCCUAGCAAAAUAUCACAUUGCUGGUUUAUUUUGGGUAUAUAUGGUAAUAAAAAAGUUA